CUAGAAUUCAAACAAGGUCUGGUCUGUGGCAGCACACAUGUGUUUCUUCAGUGCUGGGUAGGGGUUGGGGGUGGGCACAUCUCUGUAGCCAACUGGUUAGCUAGUUUAACUGAACUUCUAAUCUUUAGGUUCAAUGAGAUAUCCUGUUUCAAAAAACAAGAAGGUUGAAAACAACAGAGGAUGAUACAGAUCAUUGACUUCUGAUCUCCCCACUUCAGAAUGUACACCAGCAUAUACAUGUACACAGACAUGAGCUCUCACACACCCACACACAUGUACACAGGCACACACAUGAAAACUGUUUCCACUGUUUCUUUGUAGCACUUCAAAGAGAACCUAAACAUAUCAUGACAAAUCCUAACUUUUUAGUAAUAGUUCUGGAAUAUUUUUUUUCAAUGAAAAAGUAAUGAGUCCUUUUUUAUUGCAGUUGCUUAACGUGCUAACCCCAUAAGCUCAGGCCUUUCAUCCAUCCAUCACAGCAGACGGCUGGGGAAAGACCCUGAGAAACCAUGGGACCGAGAUCUUAUAGGGUAGCAUAAGGGGAGUGUCUAGAGGUCUGCAGACUACCCUCCUGUACUGAUUAGUUGAACAGACUGCAGCUGUGGAGCCUCCAGGUCUGUGGCCUAGCAAACACAACAGAAGGACUAAGAAUGUGACAUGAGACUAUGUAGAAGGACAGAGACCAACGCCUAGGGAGUACCAUGAGAUGAAAGACUCAAGAUAAUUUCUACCAUUUGACUACCCUGGAGACAGCUAGGACUGACACAGACAUCUAAGAAAAUAGAACUCUGUCUGACCUAAAAUUCUAAAAAUACUUGAAAUUUUU
rnacentral:lncRNA from 1 species